GGGAGGUAGUAACAUUUGGAAGCGUUGGGAGGUAGUAACAGUUUUCAGUGUUGGGAGGUAGUAACAUUUGGAAGCGUUGGGAGGUAGUAACAUUUGGAAGUGUUGGGAGGUAGUAACAUUUGGAAGCGUUGGGAGGUAGUAACAGUUUUCAGUGUUGGGAGGUAGUAACAUUUGGAAGUGUUGGGAGGUAGUAACAUUUGGAAGUGUUGGGAGGUAGUAACAUUUGGAAGCGUUGGGAGGUAGUAACAGUUUUCAGCGUUGGGAGGUAGUAACAUUUGGAAGCGUUGGGAGGUAGUAACAGUUUUCAGCGUUGGGAGGUAGUAACAUUUGGAAGCGUUGGGAGGUAGUAACAGUUUUCAGCGUUGGGAGGUAGUAACAUUUGGAAGCGUUGGGAGGUAGUAACAUUUGGAAGCGUUGGGAGGUAGUAACAGUUUUCAGCGUUGGGAGGUAGUAACAUUUGGAAGCGUUGGGAGGUAGUAACAUUUGGAAGCGUUGGGAGGUAGUAACAGUUUUCAGCGUUGGGAGGUAGUAACAUUUGGAAGCGUUGGGAGGUAGUAACAUUUGGAAGCGUUGGGAGGUAGUAACAGUUUUCAGCGUUGGGAGGUAGUAACAUUUGGAAGCGUUGGGAGGUAGUAACAGUUUUCAGCGUUGGGAGGUAGUAACAUUUGGAAGCGUUGGGAGGUAGUAACAUUUGGAAGCGUUGGGAGGUAGUAACAUUUGGAAGCGUUGGGAGGUAGUAACAGUUUUCAGCGUUGGGAGGUAGUAACAUUUGGAAGCGUUGGGAGGUAGUAACAUUUGGAAGCGUUGGGAGGUAGUAACAUUUGGAAGCGUUGGGAGGUAGUAACAGUUUUCAGCGUUGGGAGGUAGUAACAUUUGGAAGCGUUGGGAGGUAGUAACAUUUGGAAGCGUUGGGAGGUAGUAACAGUUUUCAGCGUUGGGAGGUAGUAACAUUUGGAAGCGUUGGGAGGUAGUAACAGUUUUCAGCGUUGGGAGGUAGUAACAUUUGGAAGCGUUGGGAGGUAGUAACAGUUUUCAGCGUUGGGAGGUAGUAACAUUUGGAAGCGUUGGGAGGUAGUAACAUUUGGAAGCGUUGGGAGGUAGUAACAGUUUUCAGCGUUGGGAGGUAGUAACAUUUGGAAGCGUUGGGAGGUAGUAACAUUUGGAAGCGUUGGGAGGUAGUAACAUUUGGAAGCGUUGGGAGGUAGUAACAUUUGGAAGCGUUGGGAGGUAGUAACAUUUGGAAGCGUUGGG